GCAUAGGUUUGGAUUGAUGGCAGACCCAACCCCAUGGGCCUCUUAUAGUGUCCCAUGUCAGAGCGAACUGUAACCAUGAACCAUUGCCCGGCUCUCUCAAAGGCAUCGGGCACUGAAGUGGGUUACACAGUG